GACGAACGCUGGCGGCGUGCCUAAUACAUGCAAGUUGAGCGCUGAAGGUUGGUCCUUGUACCAACUGGAUGAGCAGCGAACGGGUGAGUAACGCGUGGUGAAUCUGCCUUUGAGCGGGGGACAACAUUUGGAAACGAAUGCUAAUACCGCAUAAAAACUUUAAACACAAGUUUUAAGUUUUAAAGAUGCAAUUGCAUCACUCAAAGAUGAUCCCGCGUUGUAUUAGCUAGUUGGUGAGGUAAAGGCUCACUAAGGCGAUGAUACAUAGCCGACCUGAGAGGAGGAGCGGACACAUUGGGACUGAGACACGACCAAAACUACUACGAGAGGCAGAAGUAGGGAAUCUUAGGCAAUGGAAGAAAGGCGGAACGAGCAACGCCGCGUGAGUGAAGAAGGUUGUAGGAUCGUAAAACUCUGUUGGUAGAGAAGAACGUUGGUGAGAGUGAAAAGCUCAUCAAGUGACGGUAACUACCCAGAAAGGUACGGCUAACUACGUG
rnacentral:rRNA from 1 species